GCCCGAACGUAACACGACACACCACCGUCCGCCAAAUAACUACGAGUACAAACUUAAAAUUUAAAGGACUUGACGGUAUUUCACACUCAACCUAGAGGAGCCUGUCUACUAACCGAUAACCCACGAUUAACCCAACCGCUUCUAGCCCCCAGCCUAUAUACCACCGUCGCCAGCCUACCUUAUAAAAGAAACAAAGUGAGCUAAACAGUAAUACACUAAAACGACAGGUCAAGGUGUAGCUAAUGAAUCGGAUUAGGAUGGGCUACAUUUUCUAACCCAGACUAUACGAACCAGGCCAUGAAACAAGCCUUCGAAGGCGGAUUUAGUAGUAAGCCGAGAACAUAAUACUCAACUGAAACCAAUGCAAUGAAAUGCGU
rnacentral:rRNA from 1 species